UACGGAGGGGGCCAGCGUUGUUCGGAAUCAUUGGGCGUAAAGGGCGCGUAGGCGGCCGAUCAAGUCUGAGGUGAAAUCCCUCGGCUCAACUGAGGAAUUGCCUCCGAUACUGUUCGGCUUGAGUCCUGGAGAGGGUAGUGGAAUUCCCAGUGUAGCGGUGAAAUGCGUAGAGACUGGGAAGAACACCAGUGGAGAAGGCGGCUACCUGGACAGGUACUGACGCAGAAGCGCGAAAGCUAGGGGAGCAAACAGG
rnacentral:rRNA from 1 species